UCUCUUACUUUACUCUUUUCUCAAACCCUCCCCACACUAUUUUUCAUCUUUCUCAAAUUUCUUUCACCCUUCUCAAUCUCGAUCACUUUCUUCCCUCUCUUCUUCGAUAGCUGCUCAAUCUCAUCACUUUCCGACCGGCUCUACCACUUACUUGAACUACUUGACCACCGCAACCACUGGCACAGCCCAUCCAUUCGCAGGACGUUGAUGAUGAAUCCGAUCAAGAUUCUCUGGUCUUUCGCUUUCAACGCUACCUCAGAAUCUAAACCGCACAUCCAGAUCCCGAUUACGCCUCCGCCGUCGCCUUCCUCAGAUCUCAAGCACAAGAAAUCGGUCUCCAUACGCAGGCACUCGAGUUAGGUCCAGGUAAGCCUCUUCUUCUUGUGACUUGGUAUGGAUCAUACGCAGGCACAGAAGUCGCCUUCGCUAAUCCUCCAUCUCCCAGACCUGUAGCAGCCAACCGCGCGCAGCCAUCUGAGCCGAUUGUUGUGACGAAGGUGGAUACUGAAAUACAGGGGGUGCGGAAGGUGGAAGAGGUUAGCGAUAGUGAUGGCGAUGGCGAUGUAGAGAGUGCCGAUGGCGGUAAGGUUGGGCGAGGACGGAAGUUGAUGGAGAGAGUAUGAUUUUGGUUAUGGCGGUAUAUUAUGCAUUGAGGUUAGAAAGUAUCAACCCCUUUUGGUUAAUCAGAAUUUUCCACCGUGUUUCUUGUAAAUUCUUUAUGGUUCAUUAUUUUUUCCACUCAGCUAUUACUGUUUAGAAGUUUCAACUUACCCCCUUAUAUUUUUACCGUUUUCAGUUUAGUCCCUUACUUUUGUAGACUGUUAGAACUAGCUGAGAUAACCCUACAACCCAUUGUACUUGGUACUAAAUGGGCAAAAAUUUUGAGGAGGAAUAAUCUCAUCUAAGAAAGGAAUUUUCCCCCUCCAAAUUUACAAGAAAUCGGUCUAAGUUUUGAGUUUUCUCUCUUAGAUACCUUUAAAUUUUCACAAAUUUAAUGACUAUUUACCACUUGAAUAUAAUUCAAUUGGUUAAAGUAUAAAAAGGUUAAAGUCAUCAAAUAAAAGUUUGUUGUCAAUUAAUUUUAACAUUGACUAACGUGAGAGAAAAUGUUAAAUGAAAAAAUAUUCAAAAGCCAAACUUUUUAAAACUGAACACUAUUCUGAAUAAAAAUUGAAAAUUCCAAUUUGGGUCUUGUGUGCAAAAACUCUCCAAUGGAGUGGGACUGAUUCUGUUUUGUUUUGUGUAACUAUUAACUAAUUGAUUUGGAAAAUUGUUGUAAGAUCUGACUACUCUAUAAUCUUCCUUCAUAGAUUGUUGUACAUAGGCCAUCAUUUAUUUAUUCAUUUCUUUGUUCUCUUGUUUACCAAUUUUAGGGUAAUUGUGAUUGGUACCAACUUGUAAAAAAAAUUGCAAAUUUAACAAGUUUAUAUUUAGUUGAUGGAUAUUGCUAUAUUUAUAAAUUUUUUUUUAUAAUAUUGAUUCUUAAUUUUUAAGAGUUUGAAUUACAUAAUUUAUAAUAUUGCUAUAUUUAUUAGUGGAUUCUUCCUAUAUUUUCUAUUUACUAACUUAUGUUCUACUUAGGUGGUCUGUACAUCCAUGAAAAGUAAGGAACUAUCAUUAUUUUAUGUUGUUCCAUUGUUAGCCGAGCACAUCUAUGGAGGAACUCUGUUAGCCAUGUGUACCAAUGAUUUUAUAUGUUUCUAUGAUUGGGCAGAGGGCAGACUGAUCCGUCGUAUUGAUGUAAAUAUGAAGAACCUUUAUUGGGCUGAUAGUGGUGAUACAUC